UCAAAAACAUUGCCUCUUGAAUAAAUAUAAAAGGUAAAACCUGCCCAGUGAUUUACGAAUUAAACGGCCGCGGUACCCUGACCGUGCUAAGGUAGCAUAUAAUACGCCCUUUAAUUGUGGGCUAGUAUGAACGGAUAAACGAGAGCAAAGCUGUCUCCUAAGCACUAACUGAAAUUACCCUUUAGGUGAAAAGGCCUAAAAAUUAACAUUAAAAGACAAAAAGACCCUGUAGAGCUUAAUCAGUCAUCUCUAAAAAAAAAUUACUAUAAAUUAUCCUUUAUACAUGUUCUGAUUUAACUGGGGCGGUUAGGGAGCAAAACACCCUCCCUUCUUUUGUAAGGGCCCAAACCAACUUAUAUGAUCCUAAAUAGAUUACAGAAAUAAGCUACCUCAGGGAUAACAGGCUUAUAUCUUCUGAGAGCACCUAUCGAAGAAGAAUUUUGGCACCUCGAUGUUGGCUUAGAGGACCCUAAGGAUAGCAGAAGUCCUUAAAGGCAGGUUUGUUCAACCUUUAAACCUCUACGUGAUCUGAGU
rnacentral:rRNA from 1 species